AUAGUACUGAGCUGAAAAUGGCAUCAUAGGUUUGUUACCAUAGUGAUAAUAUGCUGAAAUACUAAAAUUAAAAAAAAGAUGAUCCCACUAAUGCCCAUGAUAGAGGGUUUAUUUGCCCCAUUCACCUUGAAUCAAAAAUUUGUGUUUAUGGGGACUAUGAUGAAAUGCUUUUUCAUGUCACACCCAAAAUUCUUUUACUGAAUACCUG